rnacentral:rRNA from 1 species
GCACAAGCAGCGGAGCGUGUGGUUUAAUUCGUUGCUACACGAAGAACCUUACCUGGGUUUGACAUAUAGGUUGUAGGGAACUGAAAAGGGACCGACCUUCGGGAGCCUAUACAGGUGUUGCAUGGCUGUCGUCAGCUCGUGUCGUGAGAUGUUCGGUUAAGUCCGCUAACGAGCGCAACCCUCGUCGUAUGUUAUAUGUGUCAUACGAGACUGCCGGUAAAAGCCGGAGGAAGGUGAGGAUGAUGUCAAGUCAGCAUGACCUUUAUAUCCAGGGCUACACACACGCUACAAUGGUCUGUACAAUGGGUAGCCAAGCCGCGAGGCGGAGCCAAUCCUGAAAGCAGGCCUCAGUUCAGAUUGCAGUCUGCAACUCGACUGCAUGAAGCCGGAGUUGCUAGUAACCGCAGGUCAGCAAUACUGCGGUGAAUACGUUCCCGGGUCUU